rnacentral:rRNA from 1 species
CAUGCAAGUCGAACGGCAGCACGGGAGCAAUCCUGGUGGCGAGUGGCGAACGGGUGAGUAAUGUAUCGGAACGUGCCCAGUCGUGGGGGAUAACGCAGCGAAAGCUGUGCUAAUACCGCAUACGAUCUAUGGAUGAAAGCGGGGGAUCGCAAGACCUCGCGCGACUGGAGUGGCCGAUAUCAGAUUAGCUAGUUGGUGGGGUAAAGGCUCACCAAGGCGACGAUCUGUAGCUGGUCUGAGAGGACGACCAGCCACACUGGAACUGAGACACGGUCCAGACUCCUACGGGAGGCAGCAGUGGGGAAUUUUGGACAAUGGGCGCAAGCCUGAUCCAGCAAUGCCGCGUGCAGGAUGAAGGCCUUCGGGUUGUAAACUGCUUUUGUACGGAGCGAAAAGGUACUCUCUAAUACAGGGUGCUCAUGACGGUACCGUAAGAAUAAGCACCGGCUAACUACGUGCCAGCAGCCGCGGUAAUACGUAGGGUGCGAGCGUUAAUCGGAAUUACUGGGCGUAAAGCGUGCGCAGGCGGUCUUGUAAGACAGAUGUGAAAUCCCCGGGCUCAACCUGGGACCUGCAUUUGUGACUGCAAGGCUGGAGUACGGCAGAGGGGGAUGGAAUUCCGCGUGUAGCAGUGAAAUGCGUAGAUAUGCGGAGGAACACCGAUGGCGAAGGCAAUCCCCUGGGCCUGUACUGACGCUCAUGCACGAAAGCGUGGGGAGCAAACAGGAUUAGAUACCCUGGUAGUCCACGCCCUAAACGAUGUCAACUGGUUGUUGGGUCUUAACUGACUCAGUAACGAAGCUAACGCGUGAAG